rnacentral:rRNA from 1 species
UCACCCUACGGGACGCAGCAGUGGGGGAUAUUGCACAAUGGGGGAAACCCUGAUGCAGCGACGCCGCGUGGGCGAAGAAGUAUUUCGGUAUGUAAAGCCCUAUCAGCAGGGAAGAAGAAAUGACGGUACCUGAGUAAGAAGCACCGGCUAAAUACGUGCCAGCAGCCGCGGUAAUACGUAUGGUGCAAGCGUUAUCCGGAUUUAUUGGGUUUAAAGGGUGCGUAGGCGGAAUGCCAAGUCAGCGGUAAAAUCGCGGGGCUCAACCUCGCUCCGCCGUUGAAACUGGCGUUCUUGAGUGGGCGAGA